UUCGAGCGAAAGCGAGAAAGCGUUGCCGCAGGCAACGACCCGAAGGGCGAAGCGCGCAGCGCUGAGUCAUCCUUCCCCCACCACCA
rnacentral:sRNA from 3 species